UGAUUUUAUCUCGCAAUAAGCAAUAAUAAGUAUCAACAAACGAACCUACCCUGUCACGGCGUUCUAGCAGGAUUCUAGCAGAGUUCUUACAGAGCUGGAUAUUCUUACAGAAUUCUAGCAGAAAUGUUCGACCGUUCUAGCAGGAUUCUGACAGAACCAGCUUUGCUAGAGUAUUUCGUGACUGGGUAACAUGACACUUAAUAUGUGCAGCCGUCGCUCUUGCAACGGACACACCAUUACACUGAACCCGUGCGACGCUCCUGAAACGAACGCACCAUAGUUGAGCGAGCUGUCAAAGUUUUUCACUCGCGCGUGCUCGAUCCUGUCUGUGUCUGUAUUCGGUCGCAGUGUUAACCGAAAUUUUCAACGGUAAAUCGCGUGUGCUCGUGAAAAAGUAACAUCCAGCGGUUGGCCUCAGGAUUCUGAAUGCGUUCCUGGUGUUGGACACAUCCGCCGGGUGUUCGAACUGUUCCGACGAUGGCGAAGAGUUUUGCUUUAAAACAACGAAUGUUUCAGGGAACAUUUCGCCUACGGGGUGAACUUCGCGCUCGAUUUGGACGAGGAAAGCCGCAACAGAAUCACUCGACAAGAUCGCCAAGAAGUUGGCUUUUCUACAAGGACGAUCGUGGAUGGCGUGUGGCCCAAUUUGUGCUGCCGGGGAGUACCAGUCCGGUCGCAAUCAUCAGACGAUAGAGGAACAUCAUUGCACAUGGGUCAAAUGAUCACCAAGGAACAUUCCCAACACAACCGGCACUAACGAAACCAGCAAAUCAAUCCGGAGUCUCCAGUCGACAAAAAGGAGCCGGUGGUCAGUUUAAACGCACCAUGACAUCACCCAUCCGAGGAGAAACAAGAAUCGGUCGCGAUCGAGAUCGAAAGCGAAAGAAAGCGGCUUCGUUUUGGUGUUUGCAAAACUCUAGAGAAGACAUUAUCAAUUAACAAUUGAAAAAAA